ensembl:ncRNA lncRNA:CR43435 long non-coding RNA:CR43435
AUUGCAUAGAUAUUAAAAAAAAACAUUUAUUGCCUUAAAAUUUUCUGUUCUCUGUAUAGAGAUCCAGGAAGGAACUAAACGCGGAAAAUAUAUUCAGCAAUUGUUUGUCGCGCAGCGCACCAAAUACAAAAAUACUUCAGCGCGAAGAUACGGAUACACCAUCAUUCAUCGCUUACGUUAGCUUCGCCGCCCGUUACGCCCCUUUCCCUGGUUUUCCCAUCUGAAUUUUCCCGACUGCCUCUGCCGUUGUCCUUUCGCUCCUGCGCUGCUGGCACUGCAGACAAAUGGCAAAAACUGUCGCUCAUUCGCAUAAAUCCUGACGAAUGAUUUCAACGCGCUGGUGAAAUGGCUGUGGGUGUUGAACGCGAAAAAGGGGGUGAACGGCGCCGUGAGGAGUUCCACAACAAAAGCAAUUAUAUGUGCGAAUCACUUUACGAGGGUCCCACAACUCCCACCCACUUUCCUCCCUCCACCCAUCGACUGCAGCGGAAAACUCAACAAAGGCGAAAAAACAAAGGACAUUGCAAAGCGGGUAAAACAAGGAAUGGCAACAAGCGAACAACAACAGUUCAAAUGACAAAGAAAUAGCCAACUCAAUAAAAGCAACAAGAUCUGAGAAAAAACAGAAGCCAUCCGCACUUUGCAAGCCACCCACACGCUGGAUCGUAAAAUGGGGAAACGCAGCGAAAAUCAAACGAUUGUCAAUGCGAAAAUAAAUCGCAUUCUUUCAUUUUCGUUAUUUUGCCAGCACUCGAACCCUGUCAUUCCUCCCCAAGGACAACAGCUGCCAUAAAAGCAACUUUCAUCCUGGCAUCCUUGAUGAGACGUGAGGCAGU